UCAAGAGGAAAGGGGCGACCAGGGCUUUCUCCAAGCCCUAACUUCUUGCUAGAAAUCUGCAAAUUGAAGCCCCAAUUCAGUUCCAAAUCGAAUUCUAAACACAUAUUAGUGGACACCUCGUUGUAAGGAUCAAAAGGCAAAGAGUCCGGUUCAUCUAGCGGACAAGCCGGAGGGAAUUCACGAGGAAAAGACGCGCUUUAAAGUUUUCAGGUACUCAAGUGAAGGAUGAUGAUCAAGCAAUCAAGUCGAACCGAACACCUAAUAUUA